UUGUAAUUUAAUAAGUUGAUUUUAGAGUGUGUUUAUAGAGAAAUUGAUUUAUUGUUGUAAUAUGUAUUGAUUACACUGUAGAGUUUUAUUGCUAGGGAAGCGUAGCAGUAUACGUUUGAGUAGGGAAAUGUUUGUCUUACCUAUGUAAUGGAGUAGUCCAGGGGGGAGAUUGUUUGGUUAUUUAAGCUGAUGAACGCGGCUGUUCGAAAAGAAAGGAUCAGCUUUCCAACAGAGGAUGGAACCUGACUGCAGGCAUUUGGUUCUACUCAGCCAUAAGAGCAUUAGUGAGGUCGACCUGCGGUCAGCAAACUGGCUCACAGUCAGCGUUCAGUUCCCAGAGGUCUCGCUUGGGGUGGAGGUCACGGCUCUGUGCAGCACCUUGGAAGGAUGAGAAACCUUACUUGACAACCUUACUUGGCAGAGGACACACGAGGACA